GCGUUGGGAGCUCUCCCAUAUGGUCGACCUGCAGGCGGCCGCGAAUUCACUAGUGAUUCGUAUUACCGCGGCUGCUGGCACGGAGUUAGCCGGAGCUUAUUCUCCCGGUACUGUCAUUAUCAUCCCGGGUAAAAGAGCUUUACGACCCUAAGGCCUUCAUCACUCACGCGGCAUUGCUGGAUCAGGCUUGCGCCCAUUGUCCAAUAUUCCCCACUGCUGCCUCCCGUAGGAGUCUGGGCCGUGUCUCAGUCCCAGUGUGGCUGAUCAUCCUCUCAGACCAGCUAAGGAUCGUCGGCUUGGUAGGCCUUUACCCCACCAACUACCUAAUCCUACGCGGGCUCAUCCCUGGCCGAUAAAUCUUUGGUCCGAAGACAUCAUCCGGUAUUAGCAGUCAUUUCUAACUGUUAUUCCGAAGCCAAGGGCAGAUUCCCACGCGUUACGCACCCGUGCGCCACUAACCCCGAAGGGUUCGUUCGACUUGCAUGUGUUAGGCAUGCCGCCAGCGUUCGUUCUGAGCCAUGAUCAAACUCUAAUCGAAUUCCCGCGGCCGCCAUGGCGGCCGGGAGCAUG
rnacentral:rRNA from 1 species